AUGUGCUGGAUGGUGUGCUUCCUUUAUGAAAACUAACUUUGCCUCUUAAUGGGGUCGUAACCUCCUCUUUGCUCGGAGCAGUCUGCAAGUCAUUCAAGCAAUUAGGUAAACUCCAGGUUGCUGUCCAUAGAGGACUGGUUGGCUGCUCUGGAGUCGAAAAACUGUGCGGGUGAGACAAAUUUUAAGAAGAGAAGACGGGUGCACAAUCCCAAGCUUGCGGAAGCACGCCGUCUUCACAACUUGGAGACAAAUGCAGGCGCUACGAACCGGAGCAAGGGUAAGAUUUAAAGAAUAUGCUUUCAUUCUGCGGUAUAAGGAAAUGGAUACGUAUAGAUACCGAUCAUAACUGUACAUUUUGUUUUCACAGACUAAUCUCGCCUCAUAACGAGGCGGAGCAAUAUCUGCAAGUCCAGAUUUACACAAUGUUGAUAAAGACGACAUUGUGUGUAAGUGACUUUUUUUACUGUUUCUCCUUCCUUGUUUAAUGUUACUGUGACUUGCGUUUGAUUUUUAUUCAUACCACUCUCAUUUAAUUGUUUUCCAGUCGCCUGUAAGACAUAUUACGAGACUGUACGCAGGAGCUUAAGGUAUACCCAGCCAGAAAACUCAAUGCGGGCGGAAGCUGCGAAGAGUUCAGCUCGGAGUCGAGCGAGAAGAAAGAGGGUAAGACUCGGAAAGAACACCGCCAGUUACCUACAACCCCGAGGAGGCAAACAGACAGUUCACUGAGUUGAAAUUUUUGGAUCAUCCUCUACCCAUGUGUUUUAAUAAAGCUCUUUCUUUGCAUAAACAUGUUCCUGGCAAAUGGUCAU